GAGUAGGGCGGGACACGUGAUAUCCUGUCUGAAUAUGGGGGGACCAUCCUCCAAGGCUAAAUACUACUGACUGACCGAUAGUGAACCAGUACCGUGAGGGAAAGGCGAAAAGAACCCCUGUGAGGGGAGUGAAAUAGAACCUGAAACCGUGUACGUACAAGCAGUAGGAGCAGGCUUUGUCCUGUGACUGCGUACCUUUUGUAUAAUGGGUCAGCGACUUAUAUUCAGUGGCAAGGUUAACCAUCUAGGGGAGCCGUAGGGAAACCGAGUCUUAACUGGGCGUUCAGUCUCUGGAUAUAGACCCGAAACCAGGUGAUCUAGCCAUGGGCAGGUUGAAGGUUGAGUAACAUCAACUGGAGGACCGAACCGACUAAUGUUGAAAAAUUAGCGGAUGACUUGUGGCUAGGGGUGAAAGGCCAAUCAAACCUGGAGAUAGCUGGUUCUCCCCGAAAGCUAUUUAGGUAGCGCCUCGGACGAAUACUACUGGGGGUAGAGCACUGUUAAGGCUAGGGGGUCAUCCCGACUUACCAACCCUUUGCAAACUCCGAAUACCAGUAAGUACUAUCCGGGAGACACACGGCGGGUGCUAACGUCCGUCGUGGAGAGGGAAACAACCCAGACCGCCAGCUAAGGUCCCAAAUUACUACUAAGUGGGAAACGAUGUGGGAAGGCUCAGACAGCCAGGAUGUUGGCUUAGAAGCAGCCAUCAUUUAAAGAAAGCGUAAUAGCUCACUGGUCGAGUCGGCCUGCGCGGAAGAUGUAACGGGGCUAAGUA
rnacentral:rRNA from 1 species